UCGUCAGCAGGUACGCAAGAGCGUUAUCUCAUGCAGCCAUGCAUAUUUGUUGGUGAUUGUGAUAACGUAAGGGAAAAAAAUGAUAUUACCUUACUAUUAGUGUUGUCCAAAACUGGUGCCAGAAGACUCGGUAAGGCCAGAGACGCAAACGUUAGUCGUCCUAAUCAGGCGUAAAGGGUGUGUAGGCUGCUUUAAAAGUUUUAAAUUUUACCUAGCUCUGAAACCGUAUUAAACUUAAAAGUUUAAGUUAAAAUUUUCAAAAUAAUACCUGUUUAACAGAUUAAAAAAAUAAAUGAUAUAAAUAAAGUUUGUUUAAUAAACUAAAAAAUAUCCGUGUUUCAGUAAAAAAUAAGAUUAAUUAAAGCUAGAAUCAAAUAGAGGAUAAGUCAAAUAAUACUUAGUGUAGGGAUUAUAUCCUCAGAUAUUAGGUGGAAUACUAAAGGUGAAAGCUUUUUAUCUAUUAUUGAUUGACGCUGAGAAACGAAGGUGAGAAUAGGAAAUAGGAUUAGAUACCCAGAUACCUCUCACUGUCAACGAUGAAUGGUGGUUGUUAGUUUUAAUAAAAAUUAGUAACGAUGUUAACACGAUAACCAUUCCGCCUUGCGAGUACGGUUGCAAAACUGAAACCAAAAAAAUUAGUCGGUCUCGAAGCAAACGAAGUG
rnacentral:rRNA from 1 species